UACGAAGGGGGGCUAGCGUUUGUUCGGAAUUACUGGGCGUAAAAGCGCACGUAGGCGGAUCGAUCAGUCAGGGGUGAAAUCCCCAGGGCUCAACCCUGGAACUGCCUUUGAUACUGUCGAUCUGGAGUAUGGAAGAGGUGAGUGGAAUUCCGAGUGUAGAGGUGAAAUUCGUAGAUAUUCGGAGGAACACCAGUGGCGAAGGCGGCUCACUGGUCCAUUACUGACGCUGAGGUGCGAAAGCGUGGGGAGCAAACAGG
rnacentral:rRNA from 1 species